rnacentral:rRNA from 1 species
CGAAUGCUGACAUAAGUAACGAUAAAGCGGGUGAAAAGCCCGCUCGCCGGAAGACCAAGGGUUCCUGUCCAACGUUAAUCGGGGCAGGGUGAGUCGACCCCUAAGGCGAGGCCGAAAGGCGUAGUCGAUGGGAAACAGGUUAAUAUUCCUGUACUUGGUGUUACUGCGAAGGGGGGACGGAGAAGGCUAUGUUGGCCGGGCGACGGUUGUCCCGGUUUAAGCGUGUAGGCUGGUUUUCCAGGCAAAUCCGGAAAAUCAAGGCUGAGGCGUGAUGACGAGGCACUACGGUGCUGAAGCAACAAAUGCCCUGCUUCCAGGAAAAGCCUCUAAGCAUCAGGUAACAUCAAAUCGUACCCCAAACCGACACAGGUGGUCAGGUAGAGAAUACCAAGGCGCUUGAGAGAACUCGGGUGAAGGAACUAGGCAAAAUGGUGCCGUAACUUCGGGAGAAGGCACGCUGAUAUGUAGGUGAAGUCCCUUGCGGAUGGAGCUGAAAUCAGUCGAAGAUACCAGCUGGCUGCAACUGUUUAUUAAAAACACAGCACUGUGCAAACACGAAAGUGGACGUAUACGGUGUGACGCCUGCCCGGUGCCGGAAGGUUAAUUGAUGGGGUCAGCGCAAGCGAAGCUCUUGAUCGAAGCCCCGGUAAACGGCGGCCGUAACUAUAACGGUCCUAAGGUAGCGAAAUUCCUUGUCGGGUAAGUUCCGACCUGCACGAAUGGCGUAAUGAUGGCCAGGCUGUCUCCACCCGAGACUCAGUGAAAUUGAACUCGCUGUGAAGAUGCAGUGUACCCGCGGCAAGACGGAAAGACCCCGUGAACCUUUACUAUAGCUUGACACUGAACAUUGAGCCUUGAUGUGUAGGAUAGGUGGGAGGCUUUGAAGUGUGGACGCCAGUCUGCAUGGAGCCGACCUUGAAAUACCACCCUUUAAUGUUUGAUGUUCUAACGUUGACCCGUAAUCCGGGUUGCGGACAGUGUCUGGUGGGUAGUUUGACUGGGGCGGUCUCCUCCUAAAGAGUAACGGAGGAGCACGAAGGUUGGCUAAUCCUGGUCGGACAUCAGGAGGUUAGUGCAAUGGCAUAAGCCAGCUUGACUGCGAGCGUGACGGCGCGAGCAGGUGCGAAAGCAGGUCAUAGUGAUCCGGUGGUUCUGAAUGGAAGGGCCAUCGCUCAACGGAUAAAAGGUACUCCGGGGAUAACAGGCUGAUACCGCCCAAGAGUUCAUAUCGACGGCGGUGUUUGGCACCUCGAUGUCGGCUCAUCACAUCCUGGGGCUGAAGUAGGUCCCAAGGGUAUGGCUGUUCGCCAUUUAAAGUGGUACGCGAGCUGGGUUUAGAACGUCGUGAGACAGUUCGGUCCCUAUCUGCCGUGGGCGCUGGAGAACUGAGGGGGGCUGCUCCUAGUACGAGAGGACCGGAGUGGACGCAUCACUGGUGUUCGGGUUGUCAUGCCAAUGGCACUGCCCGGUAGCUAAAUGCGGAAGAGAUAAGUGCUGAAAGCAUCUAAGCACGAAACUUGCC